GUCAUCGCGAGGUGGGGUCUGAAGGAAGCGUGGAGCAAAGCCAUGACCUGACGAACAGAAACCUGAUACAAGGCUCAUCCGAUCGGCAGAGCGAGCAUAUGAUCGCGAAGGCCAUAACCAUC
rfam:Rhodnius prolixus Rhodnius_prolixus-3.0.3-2306.3, whole genome shotgun sequence.